AUACGUAGGGGGCGAGCGUUGUCCGGAAUGAUUGGGCGUAAAGGGCGCGUAGGCGGCCCGGUAAGUCUGGAGUGAAAGUCCUGUUUUUAAGAUGGGAAUUGCUUUGGAUACUGUCGGGCUUGAGUGCAGGAGAGGUAAGUGGAAUUCCCAGUGUAGCGGUGAAAUGCGUAGAGAUUGGGAGGAACACCAGUGGCGAAGGCGACUUACUGGACUGUAACUGACGCUGAGGCGCGAAAGUGUGGGGAGCAAACAGGAUUAGAUACCCUGGUAGUCCACACUGUAAACGAUGAAUGCUAGGUGUAGGGGGUAUCGACCCCUUCUGUGCCGCAGUCAACACAAUAAGCAUUACGCCUGGGGAGUACGGCCGCAAGGUUGAAACUCAAAGGAAUUGACGGGG
rnacentral:rRNA from 1 species